GGCCGGUGAUGUGAUUACAAUAUUUGCUACUCUUGAUGGGAUACUAUCCCAUUUGAUGAUACUAACCACCAAGAUCUCUGAGGCC